UACGGGGGGGGCAAGCGUUGUUCGGAAUUACUGGGCGUAAAGGGCGCGUAGGCGGUCCGUUAAGUUAGAUGUGAAAACUCUGGGCUCAACCCAGAGCCUGCAUCUAAUACUGACGGGCUAGAGUUCUGGAGGGGGUAGCGGAAUUCCUGGUGUAGCGGUGAAAUGCGUAGAUAUCAGGAGGAACACCGGUGGCGAAGGCGGCUACCUGGACAGAAACUGACGCUGAGGCGCGAAAGCUAGGGGAGCAAACAGG
rnacentral:rRNA from 1 species